rnacentral:rRNA from 1 species
GCAGGCUGCAACCCGCCUGUAUGAAGUUGGAAUCGCUAGUAAUCGCGGAUCAGCAUGCCGCGGUGAAUACGUUCCCGGGCCUUGUACACACCGCCCGUCACACCAUGAGAGUCGGGAACACCGAAGUCCGUAGCCUAACCGCAAGGGGGGCGCGGCCGAAGGUGGGUUCGAUAAUUGGGGUGAAGUCGUAACAAGGUAAC